GAUCAAAAUGAUUCACAAGAUGAUGAGCGUGGCAAUCUCGGCGGGCUCGCUAAAGUCAGGGGAAGGAGAGAAACAAUGGGGAGCAUAACAUGGAUGUGGGGCAGGAGAGGCCGUGGUCGGAGCGGCAUUGCGUGGGCAUAUUGGGUAUUAUUUGAGCUGAUACUCCAUUUUCUUACAAGAGAUGUGGUCCCAUCAAUGUUGGCUGUCGAAUUUGUGCUGCAGUCCAUGCCCACCACGUCCGAGUCUUCGCCCCUUCGUCAUCCAACACAAACAGCAGAACAGAGUAGCAGUUGUGAUUUGCCAGGUUGGAGAACUGACGCAGCUUGCUGUCACGGAGUGCUCGCCCUUCUUCUGUGCCAUAAAGCCCCUCGGUCGAAACUUGCAAAUCAAAAUUGCCGACCCUGUCAAUCUCGCUGGAACGACGUCUAGCUCGUUGUGCUCCACUCACUCUAACGGCAUAUCUCAUAACUAAAGCUAUGAACAAGUGCUUCAGUUAUGCUGGUGGCAAUACAUUGCUUGAGGUGACCUCGUGUGCAAGAUUAUCCCCAUGGAGGGCGCUGGCACGGAGACAUUUGCUCACAUCAGUACUAUGAGCAGCCUGGUUGGGUGGUGACGUUUCCGAGUGGCCAAGCAAGAGCUUUUUUUGGUCUACACCUAUGCAGUGGUGACUUCUGCUACAAUGUGCAUCAACACCAGAACCAUGUUCCUGAUCAUGGACGCUGUUGUGUCCCUCACCGGCUCUCUCCUUGCCAUCACCGACAGGGUUGUGCAGGCCACUACUCGCGCAACUACUUUGCAGUGUGGAGCAUGCCAUCGAGAUAGACCAAAAGAAGAACACCGCCGGCAACAACACCAAUGGGGGCCUCCCUGGUUUCCACCACCGCCGUUGCCAUCGUCGCCCUCCCCGCCGCCCCACACCACACUGCCAGAUAGGAGUUCCAGUGUAUAUUUAUUUUUCAUCCUUAUCAGAAUAAGGAUGCACCUUGAAUUAUAUGCAGUUUUGAAGACCAUCGUUUGGAAUUUUAUGCAGUUUCUUUUGAUGAAAAUAUUUAGUUUGUCGUAAAAUUCCAAUGAAUACAAUUCUGGAUGAGGACAGAAUAAUGUGUAGCUAUGAUGGAUGUUCUUAUUCCAGUGACUCAUCAUCCGGAGAUAAUAGUAAGAUGAAU